UCUCUGGGCAACCUGUUCCAGUGUGUCAUCUUAAGAUGUUCUGACACAGUCUUUACCACUGAACAAGAAUUCUCAACUUUUGCAUAGGUGGUCUGAUGAGUGAUUUUAUCAAGGUUCACCCAGACAAAUCAGGAAUUGCCUUGUCUGCCAGGAACAGCCCCAGGUGGCAGUUUCUCUUCCAGGAACCAAGAGAAUGGUAGGAAUUGCAGUACUACCAUUAGAUAUGCCUGAGACAUCACAUCUGGGAUGUUGUGAUCCCUGCCCAAGGCCACAGUUUGAGGGAAACAGGCCACACUUUUGACUCUACAUGUUCCUGCUUAGAAAAGUGUGUUCAGAAGUACUUAAGUGACUUAGCAUGAAUGUUAGGAAAAACCUGUCACUUUGUCACUUCCUAAGCCACGAGGACUGUUAGCUGAGCUAGUACAUUAUAUUGUUGAAGAUCAUUGAUAGAUGGAGUCCUGCUGGCUUCUCUUGGAAUAUAGAGCUGAAAACUCAAGGUCUCCCUGAAGGGAAGAAGUGAAGAAUUUAUCCUUGCUAAUAAGGUGGCUUAGAAAGACACCAUGCAAUGCAGGACCAGCAGUCCUCCUAAGGCCAUCACACGAGGAACUUUCCUUCAGAAGUUUCCAUGAGCACUUCACCUCCCUUGAGAUCCAAACUGUACAAUUAAGAAUAGGCUGAUGUAUGUGUUGUGUCCCAAAGACAACCAUUCACUUAAAUUAGCAGCCACAAACCCCAGUGCAGUGACUUGGAUGAAGAACUACUUGGCGGCAACAGUCCAAAGGUCAUUCCCCUGACUCAUAAAAUGCUCUGUGAAAAAGGGGAAACCACGAGUGACUGUUUUAAUUAGAGAAAAUACCUUCCUUCUCCCAAGGAGACUGGGAUUAAUUUUCCAUAGCUUUGCAAACACCCUGCAGAAAGUUUAAAGUGACUGCUAUCACUUUUAAACACCAAAGACUUUGAAAGCAAAGACUAUCUUGACUAGUUUACGUCAAUAAAGAAAUAAAUCAAUGUUAUAUGAACAGUCAUUCACCAGUGCCUUUCCCCAAAAACUUUGACUUCUGAUGUUUCUACCCUGUGAAUAAUAAAGGUCCUGUUACCUUUUUUCACUG
ensembl:lncRNA